rnacentral:rRNA from 1 species
AUUGAACGCUGGCGGCAUGCCUUACACAUGCAAGUCGAACGGUAACAGGUUAAGCUGACGAGUGGCGAACGGGUGAGUAAUAUAUCGGAACGUGCCCAGUCGUGGGGGAUAACUGCUCGAAAGAGCAGCUAAUACCGCAUACGACCUGAGGGUGAAAGCGGGGGAUCGCAAGACCUCGCGCGAUUGGAGCGGCCGAUAUCAGAUUAGGUAGUUGGUGGGGUAAAAGCCCACCAAGCCAACGAUCUGUAGCUGGUCUGAGAGGACGACCAGCCACACUGGGACUGAGACACGGCCCAGACUCCUACGGGAGGCAGCAGUGGGGAAUUUUGGACAAUGGACGCAAGUCUGAUCCAGCCAUGCCGCGUGCGGGAAGAAGGCCUUCGGU